rnacentral:ncRNA from 2 species
UCUCAGGAAAGGGGUCUUCGCCGAAGUCUGAAGGCUAUUGCUCUAAACUUCAGGCUGGGGCUAUGGUGAACAAUCAUAGCACUGUCACCUAAGACAGCUCCCGGUCUUAGGUGGAGCGCUAUCUCAUCG